rnacentral:lncRNA from 1 species
GUCCUGGUCUUUCCCUUACAUAUCAUAACAUAACAGUGUCCAACUGUGCCAGAACGUAGAAUGGGUCCUGGUCUUUCCCUUACAUAUCAUAACAUAACAGUGUCCAACUGUGCCAGAACGUAGAAUAGGUCCUGGUCUUUCCCUUACAUAGUGCCAGCGAACGUAGAAUGGGUCCCACUGGUCUUACAUUCUGUACCGUACAUAUCACAUCGUCAUAUCAUAGAUCGAGGGCUAUGGAUCAUCCAACAUUCAUCCGCAUCAACAUUUAAAAUAUGCAAUGCAACAUAUUCG